rnacentral:rRNA from 1 species
UACGGGGGGGGCAAGCGUUGUUCGGAAUUACUGGGCGUAAAGGGCUCGUAGGUGGCCAACUAAGUCAGACGUGAAAUCCCUCGGCUUAACCGGGGAACUGCGUCUGAUACUGGAUGGCUUGAGUUUGGGAGAGGGACGCGGAAUUCCAGGUGUAGCGGUGAAAUGCGUAGAUAUCUGGAGGAACACCGGUGGCGAAGGCGGCAUCCUGGACCGGCAUUGACGCUGAGGCGCGAAAGCGUGGGGAGCGAACAGG